AAUUAAAACGUGCUGAGUCUUAGGAUGUGGUGGGCGCAUUCACGACGGUGUGUCGCAGUUUAAAUUCUGGCACGAUUGACAGAUUGAGAGCUCUUUCUUGAUUCGGUGGAUGGUUGUGCAUGUCAAUUUUUAGUUGGUGGAGCGAUUUGUCUGGUUAAUUCCCAUAACAAACGAUACUUUAUCCUAUUAAAUAGGUGCGUGGUUCCCUGCACUUUGCACCCUUAUAGAGACAAGCAGCUCCUAGCCGCCCGAAAAAGAGCAAGAACAGGUUUGUGAUACCCUCACAUGUCUGGGGCGGCACGCGCACUAC
rnacentral:ncRNA from 1 species